rfam:Ictidomys tridecemlineatus contig094654, whole genome shotgun sequence.
GGGGUUGUGGUUCAGUGGUAGUGUGCUUGCCUAGCAUGCAUGAGGCACUGGGUUCGAUUCUCAGCAACACAU